rnacentral:rRNA from 1 species
GACGAACGCUGGCGGCGUGCUUAACACAUGCAAGUCGAACGGAAAGGCCCUGCUUUUGUGGGGUGCUCGAGUGGCGAACGGGUGAGUAACACGUGAGUAACCUGCCCUUGACUUUGGGAUAACUUCAGGAAACUGGGGCUAAUACCGGAUAGGAGCUCCUGCUGCAUGGUGGGGGUUGGAAAGUUUCGGCGGGUGGGGAUGGACUCGGGGCUUAUCAGCUUGUUGGUGGGGUAGUGGCUUACCAAGGCUUUGACGGGUAGCCGGCCUGAGAGGGUGACCGGCCACAUUGGGACUGAGAUACGGCCCAGACUCCUACGGGAGGCAGAAGUGGGGAAUAUUGCACAAUGGGCGGAAGCCUGAUGCAGCAACGCCGCGUGCGGGAUGACGGCCUUCGGGUUGUAGACCGCUUUCGCCUGUGACGAAGCGUGAGUGACGGUAAUGGGUAAAGAAGCACCGGCUAACUACGUG